GAUGAACGCUGGCGGCGUGCCUAAUACAUGCAAGUCGAGCGAACAGACGAUGAGCUUGCUCCGCGGACGUUAGCGGCGGACGGGUGUGUAACACGUGGAUAACCUACCUAUCAGUCUGGUAUAACUUCGGAAAACCGGAGCUAAUACGGUAUAAUAUAUUGCACCGCAUUGUUGAAUAGUGAAAGACGGCUGUGCUGGCUCUUAUAGCUGGAUCGCCGCCGGUUGAGCUAGUUGUUGAGGUAACGGCUUACCACGGCUACGAUGCGUAGCCGACCUGAGAGGGGGAUCGGCCACACGGGAACGGAGACGCGGUCCAGAGUCCUACGAGAGGGAGCAGUAGGGAACCGUCCGCAGUGGGCGGGAGCCUGACGGAGCGAGGCGGAGUGAGAGAUGAAGAUCUCCGGAGCGUAAUACUCUGUUAUUAGGGAUGAACAAAUGUGUAAGUAAAUAUGCACGUCUUGACGGUAACUAGUAAGAAAGCCACGGCUAACUACGUG
rnacentral:rRNA from 1 species